GCGGCGCGGACCCGGAAUAUCGAUCCGUCGCGUGAGCGUCCCGUGACGUCAGGUGCCGCCAGCGCGAAAAAGGUGUCCAAACCUGAGAUGGAGAAGAAGAGGAGACGGGACCGGAGCAGCUCGAAUCCCCGCAGUGCUGCAGGAGCACAGCGCUCGAAAUGAUCCACGCCGCACCCCGGACCCGCCCAGUACAGAGCCCAGUUCAGAACCUGUCUCGUGACUGUAAACCGGUUCGUCUGGUCGCCGGACGGCGCGAGAAAGGGGUUUCGCUCGCGCGCGCUCGCGUGCCAGUCCGCCUGCCCCUGCUCCUCCGGCACCGCGGGUAGCUAGCGCGCUUUGCGCGUGGCGUGCCACUCGAGGCGGGAAGGGCAAUGCGGCCCCACCCUCCCCCUCCUGCUCCGCCUCCAAUAGGAUCGGACGUCCGGCGCGAGCCGAGCGUGGGCCGUGAAGCGCUC